rnacentral:misc_RNA from 1 species
GAUGAAGAACGCAGCGAAAUGCGAUAAGUAAUGUGAAUUGCAGAAUUCAGUGAAUCAUCGAAUCUUUGAACGCACAUUGCGCCCGCCAGUAUUCUGGCGGGCAUGCCUGUUCGAGCGUCAUUACAACCCUCAGGCCCCCGGGCCUGGCGUUGGGGAUCGGCGGAAGCCCCCUGCGGGCACAACGCCGUCCCCCAAAUACAGUGGCGGUCCCGCCGCAGCUUCCAUUGCGUAGUAGCUAACACCUCGCAACUGGAGAGCGGCGCGGCCACGCCGUAAAACACCCAACUUCUGAAUGUUGACCUCGAGUCAGGUAGGAAUACCCGCUGAACUUAAGCAUAUCAAUAAGCGGAGGA